GCUCAGUUGGUAGAGCAUGGCGUUUGCAACGCCAGGGUUGUGGGUUCGAUUCCCAC
rnacentral:tRNA from 1 species